AUGCAAGUCGAGCGGUAGCACAGAGAGCUUGCUCUCGGGUGACGAGCGGCGGACGGGUGAGUAAUGUCUGGGAAACUGCCUGAUGGAGGGGGAUAACUACUGGAAACGGUAGCUAAUACCGCAUAAUGUCGCAAGACCAAAGUGGGGGACCUUCGGGCCUCAUGCCAUCAGAUGUGCCCAGAUGGGAUUAGCUAGUAGGUGGGGUAACGGCUCACCUAGGCGACGAUCCCUAGCUGGUCUGAGAGGAUGACCAGCCACACUGGAACUGAGACACGGUCCAGACUCCUACGGGAGGCAGCAGUGGGGAAUAUUGCACAAUGGGCGCAAGCCUGAUGCAGCCAUGCCGCGUGUGUGAAGAAGGCCUUCGGGUUGUAAAGCACUUUCAGCGGGGAGGAAGGCGAUAAGGUUAAUAACCUUGUCGAUUGACGUUACCCGCAGAAGAAGCACCGGCUAACUCCGUGCCAGCAGCCGCGGUAAUACGGAGGGUGCAAGCGUUAAUCGGAAUUACUGGGCGUAAAGCGCACGCAGGCGGUCUGUCAAGUCGGAUGUGAAAUCCCCGGGCUCAACCUGGGAACUGCAUUCGAAACUGGCAGGCUAGAGUCUUGUAGAGGGGGGUAGAAUUCCAGGUGUAGCGGUGAAAUGCGUAGAGAUCUGGAGGAAUACCGGUGGCGAAGGCGGCCCCCUGGACAAAGACUGACGCUCAGGUGCGAAAGCGUGGGGAGCAAACAGGAUUAGAUACCCUGGUAGUCCACGCCGUAAACGAUGUCGAUUUGGAGGUUGUGCCCUUGAGGCGUGGCUUCCGGAGCUAACGCGUUAAAUCGACCGCCUGGGGAGUACGGCCGCAAGGUUAAAACUCAAAUGAAUUGACGGGGGCCCGCACAAGCGGUGGAGCAUGUGGUUUAAUUCGAUGCAACGCGAAGAACCUUACCUGGUCUUGACAUCCACAGAACUUAGCAGAGAUGCUUUGGUGCCUUCGGGAACUGUGAGACAGGUGCUGCAUGGCUGUCGUCA
rnacentral:rRNA from 1 species